GCCCAGCACCGAAGCCUGCAGCAGUUUUGUUGUUAGGCAAUGUGGUGUUUGGAUCGGCUAGUGGGACUGCCACUCCAUUCGAAGUCCAGCAUUGAGUAUGGUACCCUGGAUUUGGCCCAAAGAGGGUGAAAGGCCCGUGCGAAUGGAUGUUUCAGACAUGAAAGGCAGUUCAUCAGGUCGAUCUUCGAGUCGGGUUGUUUGAGAAUGCAGCCCCAAGUGGGUGGUAAACUCCAUCCAAGGCUAAAUACUGGCACGAGUCCGAUAGCGAACAAGUACCGUGAGGGAAAGUUGAAAAGUACUCUGAAGAGAGAGUAAACAGUACGUGAAACCGUAUAGAGGUAAACGGGUGGCGUCAAGCUGCAAGCCCAGAGGAUUCAGUUGGUCACUGUGUGUGUAUGUCUUGUGUAUAUCAGUCGGUAUUAGAUCGAGCAGUCCACCGGAUGAUGGUGGGUUCGGUCGCAAGGCCGGAAUGUAUGUUCCACCUAGGUUGGUGGUGUACGCUGUUCGACUAUUGGACUGGGUGGCCAAUGCACUUCCUCUGAUAUGGUGAACACCACGACCGGUGGUGCUGCCAGUCUGGUAUAGUCAAGUUGUAUCUGGUUUGGCAUUCGUGUCAUCUGGGUGCGAUCACAGGCAAUUCAGUGGACGGUGGGCUUGUCUAUGU
rnacentral:rRNA from 1 species